UACAGAGGGGGCAAGCGUUGUUCGGAAUUACUGGGCGUAAAGGGCGCGUAGGCGGCCUUCUAAGUCGAACGUGAAAUCCCUGGGCUCAACCCAGGAACUGCGUCCGAUACUGGUGGGCUUGAAUCCGGGAGAGGGAUGCGGAAUUCCAGGUGUAGCGGUGAAAUGCGUAGAUAUCUGGAGGAACACCGGUGGCGAAGGCGGCAUCCUGGACCGGCAUUGACGCUGAUGAGCGAAAGCUAGGGGAGCAAACGGG
rnacentral:rRNA from 1 species